AGCUUCAGUAGCGUAUAUUAAAGUUGUUGCAGUUAAAAAGCUCGUAGUCGCAUUUCUGGCGAGAGGAAUUGGUCCGACAUUUAUUGUGGGUACUCGAUUCUCUCUCGCCAUCCUUGAGUGGUCCGUUCUGGCAUUUAGUUGUCGGAGCGUCAGCCGCUCAUCGUUUACUGUGAGAAAAUUAGAGUGUUCAAAGCAGGCUUAUGCCGUUGAAUAUAUUAGCAUGGAAUAAUAAGAUAGGACCUCGGUGCUAUUUUGUUGGUUUGCGCACAGAGGUAAUGAUGAACAGGGACAGUUGGGGGUAUUUGUAUUUCGUUGCCAGAGGUGAAAUUCUUAGAUUUACGAAAGACAAACUACUGCGAAAGCAUUUACCAAGGAUGUUUUCAUUG
rnacentral:rRNA from 1 species